GGCAACCCUAUCUCCUACUGAAAUAAAUGAAACUUGAUUCUGCCUUAGGAAGAAUUGUGACAAGAUGGCUGCCACCAUGUAACAUCCAGGCUGAGUGUUUGCCUUUCUUCUGUGCAGUGGCAUGAGAUAAUAGGCAACAGUGAGAGGACACAUGACCUCUGACAGUAUUAAAUGAAUUUUAGCUGAAGGUUGAUAAUUAUCAUAGAGAAGAAGAUAACACAUCGAGAGUUCAUUUUCCAUCCAAGCACUUGCAUUCUUUUGAAUUCUCCACACCCUGACACCGUUUCCCAUUCUGUCACUUCUUCUUACACCACCCCUCCCUCCUCAUAAAAGGGUCUCUUUAGAUUGAGACCACAGACUUUUUUUUGCUGGCAGCUGACAGGAAUUGCUUCUUUCUUCACCAAAUCCUUGCUCCAGACAGGACAAAUUACAAGAGACUUUGGUGAGCAGCAUGGAAGAAAAUGUGAGCUCUGAGAAUUCCCCCUUCCUUUCUUCAUGGGACUGGAAGAACAAUGCAAGAACUAUGGUGCUAAGGCAGUGUCCAUCCCCUCAGAGCCUGUCUCCGUCUCCUUCCUUUGAAUCUUACUCAUCCUCUCCUUGUCCGGUUGUUGUGGAGGUGCCCUGUGCCAACAGCAGCAGCAGCAGGAGUGACAGCAGCAAUAGCUUGAUGGGGUAUACCUUGGUGGAGUUUCCUGCUAUCUAUCUUCCAAACCCUGGACAGGGCAAGGGCCAGAAGGGUCCCAAAAUCAGGAUGUCAGCCCAGCGCAGGAGAAAAGCCAGUGAAAGAGAAAAGCUGCGGAUGAGGACCCUGGCCGAAGCACUGCACACUCUGCGCAACUAUCUGCCUCCUAUCUACAGCCAAAGAGGACAGCCUCUCACCAAGAUACAGACACUGAAAUACACAAUCAAGUACAUCGGUGAGCUCACAGACCUGCUGAACAGUGUCAAACAGGCGCAGAUGCCCUGAGGAGACUUGGAAGUUUAAGAUCCUUCUUUUCAGACAGACAAGCAUCACACUCUCUUACCAUCCCUCAUCCACACCCACAGGAAAAGGACAAAAAAUCAUUUUGGAUAAUGGUGAACUUAUUCCACGGAAGAUUUUUUUUCUGCUAUGAGGAGAUGUAUGGCAACAGAAUUAAAGAGGACAUUGGUUUUUUUUUGGGGGGGGGGGAAUACAGCAAAGAAGGAAUAUAAUACCUCAGAUGAUUAAGAAUCCAUCCAGCUGGUUGGCCACUGUUUGAACAGAAUGCUGGACUUGAUGGGUUUUGGUCUGAUCCAGCUUGGCUCUUAUUUUGUUGCUGGAAUCAGAAACGAUUUCUACAACAUUUAUUCUGACAGGAUUUAUAGCACACAGUUCUGCUUGAUAAUCUUUUUUACUAUUAAACAUUUUCAGUUAUUGGGAUGUGUUUUUAGAAGGUGAUCCAUGGUUGCUAAAUAAAAUGUACUUUUUAAAAUCAUGUGUAUUGGUUAGUAGGCACUUUAUGUUAGCAGCAAGAAGGAAGUAUAGUAUGUAUACGUAGUUGAAGAAUAGUCUUUCGUGAAUCCAUAUGCUAUAGUACAAUAAAAAAAUGUCUUUAAUAGUAAUUUUUUUUAAAAGGAAAUAUCCAGUUCUUUGUACUGGUUCUUAAUACUGAGUAGUUAUUUUCCUAUUGUUAUUUUUAUUAUUAUUGUUACUAUUAUUUAGAAUAUGUUUUUCUUUUGUCUAAUGUCAGUAAUUAGCUCCAAAAAUGUUAUUCUUCUAAUAAACAGUACAAUGUUUUAGGUCUA